GGAGUUUAUGCCCAUAGACCUCUAAGUCUUUGAUUUGAGGACCAGUUGGAUGUCCUGUGCAGUAAAAGAAUCAGGAAAAGAGUUCAGCCCAGGUUCUUCAGCAAGCCGUGGAAGAACUAGAAAUUACAACAGUUGCACAGCUGACCACACCAGAAUCAAUAGAUCAAUAGUCAUCAGUAUGAAUUUGUAUCAAGAAUUUAUGGAGUCAGAAGGUCUACUGACAGGAAAAAUGAAGAAAUUUAUCAGCAAAAAGAAAAAAAAAAUCAGGGCAUAA
rnacentral:lncRNA from 1 species